rnacentral:piRNA from 2 species
UGUCAAGACUCACAACUGCUACAAGAA